AUAUGGAAGAGGGGCUGGGACUCAACAGGCCCGGUAAUAGAGACUCAGUGAGCCCUUCCUCGAUCGGCCAUUUUCUCUGCACCGCAGAACAGAGGGCCUGCUGGUUGCCAUGGAGACGGACUUGCAGGCAGAGCCGCUGCAGGUCUCAGUCUGUGCUCCCGUGAUGAAGGGACCGCGGUACACGCAGCAGAGAAGAGGGAUCAAAGGGCCUGCAAGGGGCUGGCAAGGGGACUGCGGGGCGCACCGGGCCACUGGGGGCGCGGCCUUGCUUGCCACCUACAACAGACAAAGCCGACCCGGGAGAAGCAGCAGAGGUAGGGGACAGAUGCUGAUCGCUGAGGAAGAUGGACUGCAGGUAUGCAGCAGGCCCAGAACCAAGGUAAGAAGAUGCCCCGGUCACCAAUUUAAGAGAAGAGUGAAGAGCAGAGGAUUAAUAUGAUCAGUGACUAUGCACCAGAAUACAGCUGCAACCCUAAAGAACUGCUAAGAAGUCAUAAAGUUAAAUGUGGAAUGAGAUUCUUAUGACAGCCUUUAUAGUUUUUUGUUUGGGUUUUGUUUUUGUAGUGAGAUUUUAUUUAAGCAACCACUAUGAAAUUUUUUCAUUAUUCACUUAGG
rnacentral:lncRNA from 1 species